ACGGCUGAGUAACGCGUGGCCAACCUGCCCUGCGGAGGGGGAUAACCCCGGGAAACUGGGGAUAAACCCCCAUAGGUGACCGGGUCUGGAAGGACCGGUCGCCGAAAGUCCCGGUCGGGGAUGCUCCGGCCGGGAGCCGCAGGAUGGGGCUGCGUCCUAUCAGGUAGUUGGUGGGGUAACGGCCCACCAAGCCUGUGACGGGUAGGGGCCCUGAGAGGGGGAGCCCCCAGAUGGACUCUGAGACAAGAGUCCAGGCCCUACGGGGCGCAGCAGGCGCGAAAACUCCGCAAUGGGCGAAAGCCCGACGGGGUUACCCCGAGUGCCACCCUCGUGGUGGCUUUUGCCCGCUCUAAAAAGGCGGGCGAAUAAGGGGAGGGCAAGUCGGGUGUCAGCCGCCGCGGUAAUACCCGCUCCCCGAGUGGUGGAGGCUAUUACUGGGCCUAAAGCGCCCGUAGCCGGCCCGGUGUGUCCCUCGUUAAAUCCACGGGCUUAACCCGUGGGCUGCGGGGGAUACUACCGGGCUUGGGGGUGGGAGAGGCGCCCGGUAUU
rnacentral:rRNA from 1 species